AAGAAAAAGGAAGCAUUCAGCAAUAACAGGUCUGUGAUGCCCUUAGACAUCUUGGGCCGCACGCGCGCUACAAUGGAGUUACUAGAGAGCAUUUUAUCAUUUACACCUUAUUUAUUAGGCUAUGUCUAAUAGGUAGGGA
rnacentral:rRNA from 1 species